rnacentral:rRNA from 1 species
GACAGAGGGUGCAAACGUUGUUCGGAAUUACUGGGCGUAAAGCGCGUGUAGGCGGCUAUGCAAGUCGGGUGUGAAAGCCCUGGGCUUAACCUAGGAAGUGCACUCGAAACUGCAUAGCUCGAGUCCCGGAGAGGAUGGUGGAAUUCUCGGUGUAGAGGUGAAAUUCGUAGAUAUCGAGAGGAACACCGGUGGCGAAGGCGGCCAUCUGGACGGGUACUGACGCUGAGACGCGAAAGCGUGGGUAGCAAACAGGAUUAGAAACCCUUGUAGUCC